UUUUUUUUUUUUUUUUACUAUUUGGGAAGUGUUAAUAAAGAAGGAAAGGGUUUGACUAUGCUAACCAAUAUUUUUUAGAAUUGCAUAGAAAGUUUUCUGAUUUUAUAACUCAUGUUGGUGCUUUGGUUGGAGUUACAGCUAAAAUACAAAAAUACAUUAGAGUUUCUUUUUUUUUUUAAAUGACCACACCCUUGGCAUAUGGAAAUUCCCAGGCCCGGUAUUGAAUCUGAGCUGCAGUUGCAACCUACACCACAGGUAGGACAAGGCUGGAUCCUUUAACCCACUACACUGGGCCAGUGAUCAAACCUAUGCCUUCUCAGCAACCUGCGCAUCUGUAGUUGGAUUCUUAACCCACUAGAGAAUUAUUGAAACAGAAAAUAUUAUGUAGUUUCUCUAUUUUAUUAUCUCACACUUAAAUAUUUUUAUAAUCUCCUUAAAACAAGUCAUGAAGUCCUUAAAAAUAAAAACAAAUAAAUGUUGAGAGCAAAAGAUGAUUAACUUCUAAAUAAACUGGGAGUUUCCUAUACAGUUAAAAUCAAGAAAGAACUGUCAAUGUCUGCAGAUGACAUGAUACUAUACAUAGACUAUUCCAAAGAUGCCACCAGAAAACAACUGGAGCUCAUUCAUGAAUUCAGUAAAGGUGCAGGAUCCAAAGCACAUGAAAAGAUGCUUAGCUCCACUAAUUAUUAGAGAAAUGCAAAUCAAAACUACAAUGAGGUACAAUGAGUUACCACCUCACACUGAUCAGAAUGGCCAUCACCAAAAAGUCUAUGAAUAGGAGUUCCCAUUGUAGCUCAGCAGGUUAAGAACCAAACUAGUAUCCACAAGGGCUCAGGUUUGAUCCCUGACCUUGCUCAGUGAAUUAAGGAUCCAGCAUUGCUGUGAGCUGUGGUGUAGGCUGCAGAUGCAGCUCAGAUCCCAGAAAUGCAAAUCAAAACUACAAUGAGGUAUCUCCACAUACCAGUCAGAAUGGCCAUCAUCAAAAAUCUACAAACAGUGAAUGCUGGAGAGGGUGUGAAGAAAGCAGAACCCUCCUGAACUGUUGGUGGGAGUGUAAAUUGGUACAGCCACUAUGGGGAACAAUAUGGAAAUUCCUUAAAAACCUAAAUAAGAACUGCCAUAUGAUUUAGCAAUCCCACUCCUGGGCAAAUAUCCAUGGAAAAAUCUAAUUCAAAAAGAUACAUGCACCCCUAUGUUCAUUGCAGCACUAUUUACAAUAGCUAAGACAUGGAAGCAACAUAAAUGGUCAUUGAUAGAGGAAUGGAUAAAGACAAUGUGGUACAUAUAUACAAUGGAAUAUUACUCAUCCAUAAAAAAGAAUGAAAUAAUGACAUUUGUAGCAACAUGGAGUGACCCAGAGAUUAUCACAGAGUGAAGUAAGUCGAAGACAAAUAUAUCACCUAUGUGUGAAAUCUAAUAAAAAAUUAUACACUAUAAUCUAUUUUUAAAAUGAAAACUUGGAGUUCCUAUCAUGGCUCAGUGGUUAACGAAUCCAACUAGGAACCAUAAGGUUGUGGGUUCCAUCCCUGACCUUGCUCAGUGGGUUAAGGAUCCGGCGUUGCCAGGAGCUGUGGUGUAGGUUGCAGACGCGGCUCGGAUCCCAUGUUGCUGUGGCUCUGGCGUGGGCCGGUGGCUACAGCUCCGAUUAGACCCCUAGCCUGGGAAUCUCCAUAUGCCGUGGGAGUGGCCCUAGAAAUGGUAAAAAGACAAAAAGAAAAAAAAAAGAAAACAAACUCAUAGAUUUUAAAACCAAUCUUAUGAUUACCAUAAGUGAAACCCCUAUGGGGAGGUAAGAAUUGGGAGGGUGGAAAAAACAUAUAUAUAUACAACUGCAUAAAACAGAUGAUUAACGAGAACCAACUGUAUAACACAAGAAAAUCUACUCAAUAGUUUUCCCCUAUAUGAUAAAAAAGAAUGGAUAUAUUUAUAGGAAUGACUUUCACUUUGCUGUACACAUGAAAUGAAUACAACAUUGUAAAUCAACUAUACCCCAAUAAAAUUAAUUUAAAAAAAAAGAAAGAAAAAAGGAAAGAAUGAAAAGUGCACAAGAGAAUCUCAUAGGAUACAGGAAAUAUUCUAUAGUUUUGUGUUAAUGGUAGUUAUUCAGAUGUAUACAUACGUAAAAAUUUGAACUAUAUGUUUAAAAUGAGUGCACUUGGAGUUCCUGUCGUGGCGCAGUGGUUAACGAAUCCGACUGGAAACCAUGAGGUUGCGGGUUCGGUCCCUGCCCUUGCUCAGUGGGUUAAUGAUCUGGCGUUGCCGUGAGCUGUGGCCAGGAAUCGAACCCACAACCUCAUGAUUCCUAGUUGGAUUUGUUUCUGCUGCGCUAUGAUGGGAACUCCUGCCUGAUCUUUUUUAAGCCAAUAAAAAAAUUGUUCCUUUACCUUCUCCUCCUUCUUACUUUUAUUUAUUAUAUUUAAAAAUUCAAUGUGAAAAAGAUAGAGAUCUUGUAGGUUACAGAGUUUUGCUCUCUAGGCUACUGUUCUACACACUGGGUUUAUUAUCACUUUACCCUUUGGUCACUGGUAUGGAAAUUAGCUUUAGAAAUGGUAGUUGACAAGUACAGGAGCAUAGUUAGUAAGGGCCUUUCUCACAAAUACUAUUUGUAAUCUGACAAAUAGUAGCUUGGGGACUUGAAAAAUUCAAUGAGAGAGUGGAGUUAAAAUUUAAAAGCUAUUUAAAGUUCAAGGAGUUUUUUCCCUUCAAAGACAAAGCAAAGUUAAAUUAAGGGGUUUAAAAUCAUAGUUCUGAGUGUGAUGUUUUCAAAAGAUUUAUUUUUGUAGCUAGUUUAGGGCAUAGUUUUGCUUACUUUUAUAAACACUGCCUUCUAAUCUUUUUUCUUCCAUAAUCCUAGCCUGUUUUUAUGAUUCGAGGCUAAGAAGUAACGGAAUUAAAGGGCUUUUUGACAUCCUUUUGAGUAAAACAUUGUAUUUCUUUCAAAGUAAAUGAAACAGCCACAAAAACUGUGUUUCACUUGUAAGAUAAGUAGAUGGAUAAUUACAAUGCUUUUAAAAAGAGCUAUCCUACACAUGAAUACAAGCAAGAAAAUGUUUAUUUAGUGGAUAAAAAUACACAAUCAGUAGAGCACAAAAUUUUGAGAAAAUAUUUGAGAAAUAUUUUGAGGAAAUGUUUGUACUAUGGGAAUUAACACUACUGGAAAAUCAUGAAAAACAGGUCACUUCAAAUUAUAAACAAACACUAAGUUUAUCAGGUACAAGGUGAGGAGAAAAAUCAACUAUUAAAAAAAAUCUAGUCAGCUAAAUUAGAUAACUGAGACUACCUAAAUUCAUUCAUUUCAAAUGUGUGUGUAUAAUCAGACUUAGUUAAAUCAGCAGGAUAAUUACCAGUUAUGAAUUUAUUUUUAUAUUUUAUUACAUUAUUGUCAUUCUUUUUAAUUUUCUAUGUAUGAUCAUAAUUUCACUAGUAAAAAUUGACUCUAAAAAUUUAUUUUUAAAAUCUUAAAUAGAAUAACAAUGUUAUUACUUCUUAUUAAGAUUAUAACUCCUCUUUUUUUUCUUUCUUUUUUCUUUUUAGGGCCAUACCUGUGGCAUAUGGAAGUUCCCAGGCUAGGGGUUGAACUGGAUCUGCAGCUGCCAGCGUACACCACUGCACACAGCAACGCUGGAUCCUUAACUCACUGAGCAAGGCCAGGGAUCAAACCCAGAUCCUCAUGGAUCCUAGUCGGGUCCAUUACCGCUGAUCACAACAGGAACCCCCAAGAUUAUAACACUUUUAAAUUAGCAAAUUAAACUACCUAAGGGUUUGGUCAAUAUUUACCCAUGGAAAUGGGUUUUGAGGUAAACAAACCUAAAAGCUAACCUUUGAAUUAGCCUGUGUACAUGAAUUUAUACUUCAUUCUGUGCUUUCCCUCAUAUUUUUCAAUGUGUGUGUAUAAUGCUUUAAAAUUUUUUAAAGUUAACUAGAAAGUACAUCUGUAAUGUAUUUGAACUGCUGUGACUGUACAUAUACAUCAAAAGUAUUAAAUAAGUAGAUUUAGAAAAAGAAUAAUCAAGUUACUUAUAAAAUUAAUGAGAGUUCCCAUACAUGAAAUCAUGCCAUAGUAUUAUUGGUUUUCCACCCC
rnacentral:lncRNA from 1 species